rnacentral:lncRNA from 1 species
CACGAAUAUAGUUCCUUUUAAUUAGAGUGUAUUUUUCCUUAAUUUUUUUUCUUUCCUUUCCUCACUCAUUCCUUAAAUCUUUUUGGGUAGAAAUGAAAGAAGAGAGGUCAAAUAAAUUUUUGGAGGUUGUAUUUUAACUGAUUUUGAUAUGGAAUGAGUGAUUAGGUCAAUGCAAAAAGGUGAUAUUUACAGUUUUCGGAACAUCUCUUGACUUGUCAAUAGGGGUAUGGAUGUGUAUUGGCUAAAUUUGUAAAAGUGAUUGCUUCAAUCUUUCUGAAUUUUGGAUAUAUAUUUGGACUAGGACAAUACAUUACACACACAAAAAAUUGGACAAAAGUGCAUGGUGCAAUUUUUUUAAUGAUGCAAAAGGUUAUAAAGAACUGAUAGAGGAAUUAAUUGUGGUCUGUGGCCAGA